CAGUAGCCACGGGAAUACGUAGGGCGCAAGCGUUGUCCGGAAUUAUUGGGCGUAAAGAGCUCGUAGGCGGUCUGUCGCGUCUGGUGUGAAAUCCCGAGGCUCAACCUCGGGCUUGCAUCGGGUACGGGCAGACUAGAGUGCGGUAGGGGAGACUGGAAUUCCUGGUGUAGCGGUGGAAUGCGCAGAUAUCAGGAGGAACACCGAUGGCGAAGGCAGGUCUCUGGGCCGCAACUGACGCUGAGGAGCGAAAGCAUGGGGAGCGAACAGGAUUAGAUACCCCCGUAGUCCCUGUCUCUAUACA
rnacentral:rRNA from 1 species